UGCAGUCACCCUCUAGGAGAUGUGUUUAAGGGGCUGCUGAGAUAAGUUGCCAAAAGUUAGUCCCUGGGAGGAGGGAGUGAAGAGACUAACAAACCCAGGAGUGUGGGGAAGGCCAGGGGAUAUGAAAGCAGCUCAGGGAAAGGCAGCAAGGUACAGGAAAUGGACAUUAGCUGCUGUAUUGGAGGCUUCCUGAGUCAGAACCUGGAGUAGAGAGUGGGCCUGGGUUCCCCUACCAGCCACUGUAGGAGUGACACUGUGAGGCCGUGAAGCAGAAGACUGCCUGAGACUACUGAAAAUGAGGAACCUUGAUGCACUCACCCAUGGAAGGGGAAACCACAAUAGGGACCUGGCCUGAGGGGUGAGUCAUGAAGAGGAUGCUGGAGCGAGAGAGGGGCUGCAGAGGAGAAACUGAUGGUGUGUUCCCACAGAAAAGGGCAUCUGCCUGACUGAGCUAAUUCCCAGAACUGUCAGGAGACUGUGUCAUCCAACAGACUCUCUGUAAUUCUGCAGCUUUGGAGUAUCAUGUCUUUCAUGGGGGGCCCAAGAAAAACUUUCUUUGCUUUGCAGUACAUCUGAAACCACCAAGCAAAGCAGAGAGAGCCAGCAAACUGCCUACUGGGAUUCUAUGUCUGAGAAUAUCCAUUAGCAGAUUGGAAGCUCCUUGUAGUAUUUAGAAUUAUUCAGUCGCCUUUUCAUUCUAUGUGAAGAAUUCAUGGGCCAUAUGCAGAGAUGGGCACACUCACUGGGAAGAUGAGGGGCUUGUAUUCAACUUUUCCUUUUCCUGGUAAUGUCCUCUACCUCAUUCAGACUGGAUACCCCACCUCUCCAAAUAUUGGCCUGCUUGCAGCUGCACUGUGUAGCUCUUCUGUUCACUUGCUGAUGCAGUCUCUGAUCACAAAGGACAAGGCAGCUGAGUGUUAAACAUAUGGAGUUACAGCAACCAGUGAUCCAUCCUGCCUCUGAUCAGCACAUGCAGAAGAACUCAAAGCUUGCAUACAAGUUAUAGGCAUGAACAUGGCGGGCUGGUUCCCAAAAGCCCUGGAGGCAAGAGGAUAAUAGCAAAUCCAUGGCAAUAGCACAAAGGAUACCUUAUCCCCAUGUAGCAGCAGCAGAUGAUGGUACUCUUCUAUCCAUUCCUGCUCUGCAGGGAAAGAGUGUUGAAGGAGAGGGUCCUGAAGAAGAGACAUUGAUGAACCCAGAGGUGUACACAGAAGAAAAAAUAGUUCUGGGGUUUCUGCCUUCCUGCCUCCAGAACACCUUAGCAUUGUUUUAUGGCUGUAACCCUAUAAGUCUUCAUUUACCCCUUCCUAUUACCCCAUAUGCACUGCAUCAAGCGCAGAGGUAGAUUAUCCAAUCUCCAAUUUACUGUGGCAGAAAAAGAGACAGCAUCAUCAUUUUAACUUUUUGGAGGUGGUCAAAUACUUUGAAAGCCAUAUAAGUACCUGGAUAAUAGGUCCCUGCACCAGGGACCAUGACUUUCUACUUGUGCUGUAAAGUACCUAGCUAAAUUCUAGGCACUGUAAAAUUAAUAAAUCCAUCUGACAGUUUUGAUUGUUUUGUUAUACCUCAACUCAAUAGAUAUGCUCCCUUCACUGUGUAUACAUAAUUUAACAUGAAUAAAAAUAUAGUAUAUUUCAUGGAUUGAUAUCAUAAUGGAUUUAUAUGCUGCACUUAAUGCAUCAGCAUAUUUUUAUGUGCU